rnacentral:lncRNA from 1 species
AAACUGACCAAAGAGCAGACAACAGCUGAAGCAUGUUUUACUGGAUCGAUUGGUUUUCUGGUUGACUGAUGUCCAGUGGAUAAAAUGGAAUAGACCUGGGCCAAAGACAAUAACAAUAAAAACCAAGUAGUAAACAUAGACUCACAAAACUAAAGGACAUUUACAUCAACAGUUAUAAAUAAUAAUUAAGAAACAACACGAACUCCACUAAAAACCGGGAGUGAAAUCAGGUGCUCCAGAAGGGUAAGCAUUUCCUGCACCCGUGGUGUUAUUUCUUUGUUCAGUUCAGUAAAAUUAUCAGCAUUUGUAUGCCUGUACCGUAGCGGAUUGGCGUUAUGUUUUACCGUUGUCCCCAUGUACGUCCGUCC